AUAAUGGGUCAGCGACUUAUAUUCUGUAGCAAGGUUAACCGAAUAGGGGAGCCGAAGGGAAACCGAGUCUUAACUGGGCGUUAAGUUGCAGGGUAUAGACCCGAAACCCGGUGAUCUAGCCAUGGGCAGGUUGAAGGUUGGGUAACACUAACUGGAGGACCGAACCGACUAAUGUUGAAAAAUUAGCGGAUGACUUGUGGCUGGGGGUGAAAGGCCAAUCAAACCGGGAGAUAGCUGGUUCUCCCCGAAAGCUAUUUAGGUAGCGCCUCGUGAAUUCAUCUCCGGGGGUAGAGCACUGUUUCGGCAAGGGGGUCAUCCCGACUUACCAACCCGAUGCAAACUGCGAAUACCGGAGAAUGUUAUCACGGGAGACACACGGCGGGUGCUAACGUCCGUCGUGAAGAGGGAAACAACCCAGACCGCCAGCUAAGGUCCCAAAGUCAUGGUUAAGUGGGAAACGAUGUGGGAAGGCCCAGACAGCCAGGAUGUUGGCUUAGAAGCAGCCAUCAUUUAAAGAAAGCGUAAUAGCUCACUGGUCGAGUCGGCCUGCGCGGAAGAUGUAACGGGGCUAAACCAUGCACCGAAGCUGCGGCAGCGACGCU
rnacentral:rRNA from 1 species